rnacentral:rRNA from 1 species
UACGGAGGGUGCAAGCGUUAAUCGGAAUUACUGGGCGUAAAGCGUGCGCAGGCGGUUUGUUAAGCCAGAUGUGAAAGCCCCGGGCUCAACCUGGGAACUGCAUUUGAAACUGGCGGGCUUGAGUAUGGCAGAGGGGGGUGGAAUUCCGCGUGUAGCAGUGAAAUGCGUAGAGAUGCGGAGGAACACCGAUGGCGAAGGCAGCCCCCUGGGCCAAUACUGACGCUCAGGCACGAAAGCGUGGGGAGCAAACAGG